rnacentral:rRNA from 1 species
UGGGUCUUUUAAUUGUAUUUCUAAUGCGCGCGGUAAAGCCUGCUUCGAGAGUAAGGUGGGUAAUCCAUUGGAACUAAUGAUUUCUCUUUUUAUAGCACACCUAUAUACGGCAUUCAUUCCCGGGACGACUAGUUUCGUCUUUUUGUGCGAAUGUAAUGUAUUCUUUAUCCGUAUGUGCGAUUGUCAAUUCAUGGUGGGGACAGACCAUUGUUAAUUGUUGGUCUCGGUCUUAACUAGGAAUGCCUUGUACGGGUCUUUGGUUCAACAAACCACCCGGAAUACGUCCCUGCCCUUUGUACACACCGCCCGUCGCUCUUACCGAUG